rnacentral:rRNA from 1 species
UACGGAGGGGGCAAGCGUUGUUCGGAAUUACUGGGCGUAAAGGGCGCGCAGGCGGCUGCUCAAGUCAGGCGUGAAAGGCCUGGGCUCAACCCGGGAAUUGCGCUUGAGACUGGGCUGGCUUGAGUGCGGGAGAGGAUGGUGGAAUUCCCAGUGUAGAGGUGAAAUUCGUAGAUAUUGGGAAGAACACCGGUGGCGAAGGCGGUGCUCUGGGCUGGAACUGACGCUGAUGGACGAAAGCGUGGGUAGCAAACGAGG